rnacentral:lncRNA from 1 species
UUAUGAAUAGAUGAAUAUUCUUGCACACGUCGGGUUCUGUCUUGAAUUAAAUUGUGUAAUCGCAGAUACGAACAGUUUGAACGGUAAAAUGUUCAUAGUUUCUUUAUAACAUAGGGAAAUAUAUUAAAACAGUUCAUCGCUAAUGUAAAGACAUAAUUUGUAAUGUUUUAAAGGUAACUCACGCUGUGGUUAGCCACGAAUUGUUCUUUUGGACAACGUGUCCGCUGAAUGUUCUUUGCAGUUGUGCACACGACUCGCUGAGCAGUUUACGUCAUUAGAAGAGAGGGGAAAGUAACGCGGAUUCCUACACUGUCCUGUAUAAAACUCCUAAAACUGGCGCACAUAAAGCGAUGUACGCAAUGAAACGUUAACAAUAUAAAAUGAUGAUCAAAUGAAGAAUAAAUGAUGAAUGAGUUCAGAACACUCCCCGUCUGAGGUCUAUCUGACAUCACUAUUCCAUUAUCGAAAACAAAUAAAAUGUUAAAUAUAUAACAACAGUACAAAUAUUCACUUAG